rnacentral:rRNA from 1 species
GACUCUCGGCAACAGAUAUUUAGGCUCUUGCAUCGAUGAAGAAUGUGGUGAAAUGCGAUACUAAUUGCAUAACACAAGUUGCGCCCGAUGCCAUUAGUUACCCUUUAAAAGAGAAAAUAUUAUACCUGACAUAAUUAUU